UGGAGAGUGGGCUCAUUUCGGAUGUGACAGAAGACCUGGCCUCGGGGCCUUCAAGGAUUAUGCGAAAACGGAUGGGUUGGAAUAUGUCUGCCCAAAUUGUAGCGUCUCUAAUUAUAGGAAGAAGACUCAGAAGACCUCUAAUGGUGGCUUGCUUGUCCCUUAAUUAGCUUUCUUACGUUUCUUCUUCGGUUUUUACUUUUGCUUUGAAAACCAAUGAUUGAUUGAUUCCUCCUCUGAUCUUUCACGAGUUUUUCGCAAUGCAAGUAUUUUUUUUUUUC